UGGGCAGUGGGGUGGCCCCGCUGGAGGACAGGGCUGUCCCCUCCUCCCGGGCACACCUUCAGGGACAGGCAGCUCCUACGGACAGAUGAAUGGACGGCUCCUCUGUGACCACCCAAACACCUCCAGCACAACAGCACGUGGAAGCCUAUGGGACUGCAAACCUCACCCUGGGCCACUUCUACGGACCCAGUCCCACCUCAGCCUGGUGAAGCUCAUCAGUAAGAUGGGUUUAACUAUCGUGCCUUUAAUUCCAAGUAAAUUGCAGAAAUCAGUGUUUUAAAAUCUUUAUUCAGCCCAUUUUCUACUACAGCGUACUCCGAGAUCCAUGUAGACCCAGCGAAGCCUUGUCACCUUCCUGAGAGCAGGAAACACCCUCCUCAGACAGCAGGUCCCCCUCAGCCUUUCUUUCGGGGUGAGGGAACACACUUCCAAGUAAAGACUGUUACGCUCUCUCCAAAAUCCUUCAAAUUCGAAGCAGGAACUAGAAAACACCCGCGAUUUUCUCCCGCUCGCACCCGUCAGGCUCCGGGCUGCUGUCUGAGGGGGGAAGCCAGGCCACCAGAGGGGAUUUUGGCUGCGGGGUACCGCGGCGGGCAGCGAGCGCUCCCUCCCCGCACCUCCGCCACCACCUUACACCCAGGUACCCCCCCCCCCCCGCGCCGGGGGGAGCCGUGCCGGGAGCCCUCCCACCGCGGCGGCCACGCAGCUGCCGCCGAGCACCCCCGGCCGAAGGCAGGACCCGGCCUACGGGCCUCCGCCGGGGCGGCGCGGGGGGGGGGGGAACGCUGCGUCGCCCUCCCCGGCCGAGAAGCCGCGGGCAGCGAGGCGCCUGGAGAACCGCCGCCGCCUCCACACCCUCAGCGUGGCCCGGGGCAGCGGCUGCCGGAGGCCGAGGCGGUGGGUAGGGGAAGGGAAAGAGCCGCCGGGCCGUCGCCGCCCCCCUUCUUCAGCGCCGCCGCCCCCCUUCUUCAGCGCCGCCGCCCCCCUCCUCAGCGCCGCCGCCCCCCUCCUCAGCGCCGCCGCCAACGGCCGCAACGGCCACCGGG
rnacentral:lncRNA from 1 species